rnacentral:ncRNA from 1 species
GAUGACUUGCCGCCGGGUAAGCAUUUGAGCGCAGAUCUGUAUCGUUAGGCCUUAGAAGAUACAGAUACGGGCGCUUUUGUUUU